rnacentral:lncRNA from 1 species
AUGUGUUUACCCACACUAAUGCCCCCACCAGCUGUAGAUAUGAACUCAGGUGCUCCGUAAGGGUUAGCAGACUCUGUUCCAAAAGAGAAUAUUUGGUAACCACCACUAAUGCCCCCACCAACUGUAGAUAUAAACUCAGGUCCUCCGUAAGGGUUAGCAGUUUCUGUUCCAAUAGAGAAUAUUUGGUAACCAACACUUUUGCCCCCACCAGCUGUAGAUAUGAACUCAGGUGCUCCGUGAGGGUUAGCAGUUUCUGUUCCAAUAGAGAAUAAUGGUUGCCCACACUAAUGCCCCCAUCACCUGUAGAUAUGAACUCAUGUGCUCCGUAAGGGUUAGCAGUUUCUGUUCCAAAAAAUAAUAUUUGGUAACCAACACUAAUGCAGUAUUAGUGAAUGCAGGAGAGUCUGACUUAUUUAUCAGUUGUUGCUUACAUCUAAGUCAUUUGGUGUAUGGUUGACAGUCGUCUCAUUGGCAAUCAUACCGUAUCUUCAUAUGUUUGUACAUAAGUUCACUAUAUCUAAGUAAGCAUCCAACAACCGAAAUAUAAAGGUUGUACUUUGUAAAUACAGCUGAUUUCACAAACCAAACCUCUUUUGGGGAGAUAUAUAAUAUUCAUAGAUAGUUUGUCUUGUUUACCUACUGGUUUCCAGAUAUGAUCACUUGGGAAUUUUUCACAGCCGC